CUCUUUCCCGUGAGAAAGAUUCUGCCAUGCCUUUUGCGCACCACCCCCAGUCUCAGAGUUUUCAUUCAGUUGGACCCAAUCACUGGGUGAAGGGGCCCUAAUAAUUCGCCGUCCUUGCCUAGAUCCAGAUAUUCUACCAGAAAGAUCACUAUCAUCAUCCUCCAAAUCACUAAAGGACACAUCCUCUUCAUGUUCAGGCUUUUUCUGUCUGUCCAGGGUUGUGCCAGUAUCAAUCUCUCUCUCUUUCAACCAGUGCUCCGCAUUCUCGUCAUCAUCAAUUUCUAACCUACCAGUUGCAUUUACAAUGGAACUGACCUCCUUUUCCCUAGAUGGGAUAUUCUCCUCUUGCCUCUCACUGACUUUGAUGCCCUCUUGAGAUGUAUCAAUAGUAGCAGAACUCUCAGAGCUCUCCACUUCCACAUUUCUCUUGUUUUGCAGGUUCUGCAGAAGUACACUUCUUGUUUCAACUAUCUGGGGAGUUGAUAGAAUCUCAGAGUCAUGUUCAUUCAGUCUUGGAAGUAACAAUAUAAAAUAUAUCAUCCAAAAUCGUUCAUCCUCCAUAUAACUAUGAAUGUUAGCUCUAAGAGCUGUAAGACCAGGAACCAUUUGCUCAACAGUUGAAGCAUGUUCUCUCUGAGCAUCA
rnacentral:misc_RNA from 1 species